rnacentral:rRNA from 1 species
UACGUAGGGGGCAAGCGUUGUCCGGAAUCAUUGGGCGUAAAGAGCGCGUAGGCGGUCCGGUCAGUCCGCUGUGAAAGUCGAGGGCUCAACCCUCGAAUGCCGGUGGAUACUGCCGGGCUAGAGUCCGGAAGAGGCGAGUGGAAUUCCUGGUGUAGCGGUGAAAUGCGCAGAUAUCAGGAGGAACACCAAUGGCGAAGGCAGCUCGCUGGGACGGUACUGACGCUGAGGCGCGAAAGCGUGGGGAGCAAACAGG